rnacentral:RNase_P_RNA from 1 species
GAGGAAAGUCCGAGCUACACAGGGCAGAGUGCCAGAUAACGUCUGGGCGGCGCGAGCCGACGACCAGUGCAACAGAGAGCAGACCGCCAUACUCUGUGUAUAUUUUUUAGAGAUGGUAAGGGUGAAAGGGUGCGGUAAGAGCGCACCGCGUGGGUGGCAACACUUCACGGCAGGGUAAACUCCACUCGUAGCAAGACCAAAUAGGAACUCAAUGGAUGGCCCGUCCAGAGUUCGGGUAGGUUGCUUGAGCAUAACAGCGAUGUUAUGCCUAGAGGAAUGAUUGUCCACGACAGAACUCGGCUUA